GGUACACACGUGUUACAAUGGGGGGUACGAGAGGGCCGCUACCACGCGAGUGGAUGCCAAUCCCCAAAACCUCUCUCAGUUCGGACUGGAGUCUGCAACCCGACUCCACGAAGCUGGAUUCGCUAGUAAUCGCGCAUCAGCCACGGCGCGGUGAAUACGUUCCCGGGCCUUGUACACACCGCCCGUCAAGCCAUGGGAGCCGGGGGUACCUGAAGUGCGUAACCGCGAGGAGCGCCCUAGGGUAAAACUGGUGACUGGGGCUAAGUCGUAACAAGGUACC
rnacentral:rRNA from 1 species